rnacentral:rRNA from 1 species
GGCUGAAAUUACGCCUUCAUGAAGCUGGAAUUGCUGUAAUGGCAGGUCAGCAUACUGCCGUGAAUACGUUCCCGGGCCUUGUACACACCGCCCGUCACACCAUGAGAGUUGGAAAUACCCGAAGCCUGUGAGCUAACUUAAAGAGGCAGCAGUCGAAGGUAGAGCCAAUGAUUGGGGUGAAGUCGUAACAAGGUAUC